rnacentral:lncRNA from 1 species
CAGAAGAGGAGGCCGCAGAAGCGCGCGGCUCUGCGGACCCAAAUGGAGCCAGCAGCGGCCGCAGCCCGAGGGGCUGAGCAGGCCUCCCAGAGGGGGAGGGAGUUCAAGGGCCUGGGGGCCCACACAGUGCAGUCAGGCCCAAGUGCCAUGUCCCAGAGCUUUGCAGACAAGAACCUGCUACCCCUGACACCCCGGCAGCUGGCAGGUAAGGGCCUCAGGACUGGAAGCUGGGAGGAAAACCAGGGGGUGCUCAGAGCAGAAUGCAACCGACUUGGCUGCCCAGGGGCUGGGAAGGCUGUGAGAAGCCAAGCCAGUGAUUGUAUUGGAACCUUCUCUCCCUGCCAGUCAGACUUGCUCAUCUCUGCUACCCCAGGGUUCACUGCUGGGGGUGGGUGGGGGAGUGUGAAGAAGGGAUGGAUGGAUGGAUUGGUGGAUAGAAAGUAUUUAGAGGAGUUCCUGUCGUGGCUCAGUGAUUAACGAAUCUGACUAGGAACGAUGAGGUUAUGGGUUCGAUCCCUGUCCUUGCUCAGUGGGUCAAGGAUCCGGUAUUGCUGUGGGCUGUGGUGUAGGUUGCAGAUGUGGCUCAGAUCCAGCGCUGCUAUGGCUCUGGCAUAGGCUUGGCGGCUACAGCUCCGAUUAGACCCCUAGCCUGGGUGUGGCCCUAGAAAAGGCAAAAAGACAAAAAAAAGAAAGAAAGAAAGUAUUUAGAUAGUGGAUGGAUGGAUGGUGGAUGAAUGAACAGAAUGGAAGGAAGAAGGGAAACUGGGAGAAAGGAUGGAAAAAAAGAAUCUGAGGUCCCCACGCUGCUGGGGUUUGGGGCUGUGGGGGCUGUGAGUAGGGGUGGAAGGAAUCCCAAUGCCCUUGCCAAGAUCAUGCCCUGAUAUUGGCAGGGACCCCUCAAAGCAGAAUCAUUCUAUUCAUCAUCAGUGAUUUUCAGUACCUGCUAUGUGCCAGGCGCCAGCAGCGCUCAAGGAGCCCUCAGGCACUGUCUCCAGGGCCAGACUGCUGGCGUCCAAAGCCCAGCAUUACCCCUACUGGAGACAUGACCUUGGACAUGAGUUUUUAAUGUUUUUCAUAUAAACAUGUCCAAACGUGAGUUUUCAACACGAGAAUUGAAUGGACACGUAACAAGUGCCAACACACAGCAGCCACUGUUUUCUUUACAUUGUUAUAAUACCCAGGGGGUUGGUGGAUUCCAGUCUUGUCUCAUCCGGGCCACAGUGGGCGAAUCUCAGUGUUCCUGUGUGUGCUCUUUACCUGCUGCCUUUCCCCCUCCCGGCCCCUAGCGUUCCAGGAUGUCUUCAAACUGUUCAGCUCCAGCCCAGCAGGCACCGUGGACAUGCACAGCAUGAAAGCUGCCCUGUGCAAUGCGGGUGUCCAGCUGAGCCCACAAGAGAUGUGUGAGGCUCUGGGGCAGGCAGACUUGGAUGGUGGGUGUCCCCAUCCCUGCCCUCUUGUCCCCUCCCACCUCUAGCCCUGAAGAAUGCCUCCCUUGCCCACAAAAUCCCUGGCCUGGUCCUUUUUUUUUUUUUUUUUUUUGGCCAGGUUGUGGCAUGCAGAAGUUCCCAGGUCAGGGAUGGAACCCAACCCAUGCCACAGCAGUGACAAGGCUGGAUUCUUAACUGCUGGGCCACCAGGGAACUCCUGCCUGAUCCUAUUUUUAAAGUUUGCUCUUCCAGGAAGCCUGCCCUGAUCAACACACCUGUCCCCUAGCCCCUAAACAUUCCUGCUAAUCCUCAUCCUGACUUGGGGCUCCCCCAGGGCAAGGGCUAUUUCUCCCCCACUCAAUUUGGGGUAACACUUGGCUAGAGGCAGGACUGCAUUCUCUAAAGCCUGGAACUGCUGCAAGCCCCUAACAAGUACGCACAGCAGGUCUUCUGCUUGCCGCAGGCACCCGCAGCACCCUCUCCUCUCUCUCUUCCCAGGUGAUGGAAGCGUAAGCUUCGAAGACUUCCUGGGUGUCCUCACUGACAGCCACCGCCUGGCUCAGUGCUUGGGUGAGGGGCGGGGCUGGUGGGGCGGGAAUGGGCGUGGCCUGGAGGAGGCACCUCCUGACCUCCCCCCUGUUCUCUGCCCCCAGGCAAGGUGAGGAACAGCAGGGUCUGUGACCCCCACGGCUUGCAGACUCUCUUCUUUGAGACUCUCUUCAAGCUGAUGAGUCUGGGCUUCGUGCCCUACAAGUCGGCGCAGGAGGUGAUGAGGUGGGCACAGCUGUACCCAGCUUCGGGGCCCAGGA